rnacentral:lncRNA from 1 species
AUACUUACCUGGCAGGGGAGAUACCAUGAUCACGAAGGUGGUUUUCCCAGGGCGAGGCUUAUCCAUUGCACUCCGGAUGUGCUGACCCCUGCGAUUUCCCCAAAUGUGGGAAACUCGACUGCAUAAUUUGUGGUAUGGGGGACUGCGUUCGCGCUUUCCCCUGGUAUUUUGUGGUCUUACAAGUAGAUAUGCUCUGUUAAGUUUUUUUUUGUUUUUUUCGUGUAACUAAGUUUUAGCGUGAGUUGUAUUCUUAACGUGGUGUUCGUCAUUGUAAACUGGCUUGUAAUUGGGCUGUCCCUUUUGCUUUUGUUUGCCUCUGUGGGGUGUGUUUUUUGUCUGCCCUGGAAACUUCCCCGCACCAAAAACCGUGAUUUAACUGUUUUAAAGUUAAAGUAGUGUUUUUUGUAACUUUUUGCUGUGAGCUGACUCUUAGGGACAGCCACAGCUCUGCUACCCAAUUUGAUUGAUUCCUUAGGUAAGGUGGACAGCAGGGUAGAAUUCAUUGACAGAUUUCUCACUUUGAUGCUGAGGUAGUAUAAAAGUCAGCUAGAUAAUCUCCUCCAAGUCAUUCAACGUGGAAUCAGCCAGUUACACCAUCCGGUCACUGAAGGACACCAAGACCCCGGUUGAUGCUAUGAAUGUGGGAGUAAAUGAGAUGAAGAAAGCAUAUACAAGCAAGUGAAAAGUGACCAGAUUGAGGAUCUAGAAGACCAGCUAAAGCAUAUGAUGGAAGAUACAAAUGAAAUCCAAGAAGCACGGAGUUGUAGUUAUGGCAACCCAGAAUUAGAUGAAGAUGACCUAGAAGCAGAGUUGGAUGCACUGGUUUGAUGAAGACAGUUCUUACUUGGAUGAAGCAGCAGCUGCACCUGCAAUUCCAGAAGCUGUUUCCAUUGAUACAAAGAAUAAGGAUGGAGUCAUGGUGGAUGAAUUCGGAUCGACACAUAUCCCUGCUUCGUAGACUUGCAUCAUUCAAGUACUUCGUGUGAAAUAAACACAUAUUUUGGGACUAGGAAGUAUUUAUCUUUCGCAAUUUGCCAUAACAGAUUUGUAUUUCCUUCCUGUCUUUGAAGGGAAUGAAGAGUUAAUUACAUUGCUUUUAUUGUUUUGUUUUGUUUUCCUUAAGAGACUCAUUGCUUGGAGGAAGGUUUCUUCAUACUAAAUUUUUUUUUUUUUUUUUUUUUUUUUUGUCUUUUUAGGGCCACGCACACGGCAUAUGGAGGUUCCCAGGCUAGAGGUCGAAUCAGAGCUGUAGCUGCUGCAACAUCAGAUCUGAGCCGAGUCUACAGUCUGAGUCUGCGAUCUAUACCACAACUCACAGCAAUGCCGGAUCCUUAACCCAUCCUCAUAAAUACUAGUUGGAUUUGUUUCUGCUGGGGCACGAAGGCUACUCCCUGAGUUUGGAAUUUUUGAAGAUAAUUUUUUUUUUUUUUUUUUGCUGUGACCACAGUAUGUGGAAGUUCCCCAGGAUUGCUGUGAGAAUGCUGGAUCCUUAACCGCUAGGCCACCGGGGAACUUCUGGGGUUUUUAAUUUAUUUAUAUUACUUGAACAUUUUAUGUCAAAACAUAAUCAUCAUGUGUUUGUGUAAAUGCAAUUAAAUAAAAAAUUUAAAGAGAUCAAAAGACAUUAGGAUGGCUAUUAUUUUAUUUUUAUUUUAUUUUUUUAAGACAAAUAUUAGGAAGUCCCCUCUCUUGGCUUAGCAGGUUAAGGUAUCCACUGUUGUCACUGAUCUGGCUCAUGUCACUGCUGUGGCAUGGUUUCAGUCUCUAGCCCAGGAACUUCUGCAUGCAGUGGGUAUGGCCAAAAACAAAACCAAAAAUUUCAUAUUGGUAGAAGGCCUGGAAAAAUUGGAACCCUUUUGCAGUGCUAAUGGUAAUGUAAGAUGGAUGCUAGAAUAUAAUAUGGCUGUUCCUCAAAAAAUUAAGCAAUCUAGGAGUUACCUGGAAACGAAUCUGACUAGCCUCCAUGAGGACGUUGGUUUGAUCCCUAGCCUCACUCAGUGGGUUAAUGAUCCGGCAUUGCCAAGAGCUUUGGUAUAGGUCACAGAAGUGGCCCAAACCCCUCGUUGCUGUGGCUGUGGCGUAGGCCAGCAGCUGUAGCUCCAAGUGGACCCCUAGCCUGGGAACCUCCACAUGCCAUGGCUGUGGCUGUAAAAGACAGCAACCAAAAAAACCCACGAGAAUUGAAAACAGGGAUUCAUAGCAGCAUUAUUCACAAUAGCCAAUGGUGAAAUCAACCCAUGUCUAUCAGUGGAGGAAUGGAUAAACAAAAUGGAGUACGUAUACACAAUGGAAAAUUAUUCCGCCUUAAAAAGGAAAGAAAUUCUGACAUAUGCUGCAACAUGGAUGAACCUUGAGAGCAUACUGAAAUAAGCAAGUGACAAAAAGACAAAUACUGUAUGUUUCCACUUACAUGAAGCACCUAGAGUAGUCUUCAGAGACAUAGAAAGUAAAAUGGUGGUUGGCCAGGGCCCGGGAGGAGGAGAAAAUGCAGAGUUGAUAUCCAAUUUGGAAAGAUGAAAAAAAUCCUUUUAAGGUAGGGAUUCCCUUGGGACGCAGUAGGUGAAAGGUCCGACAUUGUCACUGCUGUGACUCUGGUUAUUGCUGUGGUGUGAGUUUAAUCCCUGGCCCAGGAACUUCCAUAUGCCGUGGGUACAACCAAAAAGAAAAAAAAAAAAAAAAAGGAAGAAAGAAGUGGAGAUUGGAGGGUGGUGAUGGUCAUACAACAGUGUGAAUGUCCUCAGUGCCACUGAACGUCACACUUAACAUUUGUUUAAAGGGGUAAAUGUUAUCUAUGUAUAUUUUACCACAAUAAAAUAAAGAAGGAAUAAAGGCAAUGGCACACAAAGGUGAACAUUCCAGAAUGACAGGGUCUGCAAACGCACACUGGAUUUGUCCAGGUGUCAGAAGGUACUGGGGGCUUUGGCCAGCAGCCCACUGUCUGGGGUAUGUGGGAGAAGAACACAUUAGCAGGUCCUCAGUGCAGCCAGUCUAGCUGAAUGGAUGAGUGAAGUAGAGACAGUAAGUGUAGACUCCUUUUUCAAGAAUGUUUUCUGCUUUCUUUUUUAUAAUUAAUAAAACCAAAACCAUAUGCAUAUUUAUAUGCCGUAACUAGCUAUUAUUAGUGUAUUAGUUUGCUAGGACUGCCGUAACAAAAUACCACAGAUGGGAUGGAUUAUACUACAGAAAUUAAUUUUCUCAAGAUUCUGGAUGCCAGAAGUGCAACAUCAAGAUGCCAACAGGGUCAGGUUCUUCGAAGCUUCUUUCCUUGGUGUGCAGAUGGCCACCUUCUUGCUGCUUAUUCACAUGGUUUAUGCUCUAUGCAAGCGCCCCUUGGGUCUCUUCCUCUUCUUAUAAGGGAGUUCCCAUGGUGGCUCAGAGGAAACGAAUCUGACUAGGAACCAUGAGGAUGCGGGUUCAAUCCCUGGCCUCGAUCAGGGGGUUAAGAUCUGGUGCUGGUGUUGCCGUGGCUGUUGUGUAGGCUGGUGGAUACAGCUCCGGUUAGAUCCCUAACCCAGGAACCUCCAUAUGUUGCAGGUGCGGCCCUAAAAAGACAAAAAGACAAUAUAUAUGUAUGUGUAUUGAGCUCUUCAAUUUCACCAGUAACAUUGAGAAUAAACUUUAAUUUUGUAGCAUUUCAGUAAUUGUACCCCUAAUCCUGUUCCUUAUAAAUGAAAGUGCACAAGAAGUGAAAGAGGGAGUUCCCUUCAUGGCUCAGAGGUUUACGAACCUGACUGGGAACCAUGAGGAUGUGGGUUUGAUUGAUCCCUAGCGUCGCUCAGAGGGUUAAGGAUCCAGUGUUGCUGUGGUUGUGGUGUAGGCUGGCCGCUGUAGCUCCUAUUGGACCCCUAGACGGGGAACUUCCACGUGCGGCCCUAAAAAGCAAAAAAAAAAAAAAAAAAAAAAAAAAA